GACGAACGCUGGCGGCGUGCUUAACACAUGCAAGUCGAGCGGUAAGGCCCGUUUCGGGGGUACACGAGCGGCGAACGGGUGAGUAACACGUGGGUGACCUGCCCUUAGCUCUGGGAUAAGCCUGGGAAACUGGGUCUAAUACCGGAUAUGACCUCAUGACUCAUGUUGUGGGGUGGAAAGCCUUGUGCGGCUAGGGAUGGGCCCGCGGCCUAUCAGCUUGUUGGUGGGGUAAUUGCCACCAAGGCGACGACGGGUAGCCGGCCUGAGAGGGCGACCGGCCACACUGGGACUGAGACACGGCCCAGACUCCUACGGGAGGCGAGCAGUGGGGAAUCGUUGCGCAAUGGGCGAAAGCCUGACGCAGCGACGCCGCGUGAGGGAUGACGG
rnacentral:rRNA from 1 species